rnacentral:rRNA from 1 species
AGAGUUUGAUCCUGGCUCAGAUUGAACGCUGGCGGCAGGCCUAACACAUGCAAGUCGAGCGGUAGAGAGAAGCUUGCUUCUCUUGAGAGCGGCGGACGGGUGAGUAAUGCCUAGGAAUCUGCCUGGUAGUGGGGGAUAACGUUCGGAAACGGACGCUAAUACCGCAUACGUCCUACGGGAGAAAGCAGGGGACCUUCGGGCCUUGCGCUAUCAGAUGAGCCUAGGUCGGAUUAGCUAGUUGGUGGGGUAAUGGCUCACCAAGGCGACGAUCCGUAACUGGUCUGAGAGGAUGAUCAGUCACACUGGAACUGAGACACGGUCCAGACUCCUACGGGAGGCAGCAGUGGGGAAUAUUGGACAAUGGGCGAAAGCCUGAUCCAGCCAUGCCGCGUGUGUGAAGAAGGUCUUCGGAUUGUAAAGCACUUUAAGUUGGGAGGAAGGGCAGUUACCUAAUACGUGAUUGUUUUGACGUUACCGACAGAAUAAGCACCGGCUAACUCUGUGCCAGCAGCCGCGGUAAUACAGAGGGUGCAAGCGUUAAUCGGAAUUACUGGGCGUUAAGCGCGCGUAGGUGGUUCGUUAAGUUGGAUGUGAAAUCCCCGGGCUCAACCUGGGAACUGCAUUCAAAACUGACA